UGCAAGUUAUUGUGAUAUCGUUACUCGUAAUGCGAGGAACGUUUGAUCCUUACAUGCGGAUACUUUAGAAAGGGUCAAAGCUGCAAGGUCUGGGACCAAGUAACACUUUCAGCAUUCAAAUUCUUCAUAUGGCCUUGGAAUUGUUUGGAAGACAAGGCAAGCAAAACACGACAGCACAACAACAAGGCAAUGUAAACUUAUUUGAAAAGAGCCAGCUGACAAGGUUCAAAAUAGGAUACUUUGAGAUUAACAGACAAUCACCUUGUGAGCUAUUUCACACCUUGUGGCUUCACAACUUGCUCAGGCACUCCCCAACACGGUGAAAACUGCUAGCUGGGCACACUUAGUCAUUAUGACC